ACUCAAAUGAAUUGACGGGGGCUCACACAAGCGGUGGAGCAUGUGGCUUAAUUCGAAGCAACGCGAAGAACCUUAUCCUGGGCUUGACAUGUAUGGAUUAGCUUCUGGAAACAGAAGUAAGGCCUUCGGGUACAACAUACACAGGUGCUGCAUGGCUGUCGUCAGCUCGUGCUGUGAAGUGUCGGGUUAAGUCCCUUAACGAGCGAAACCCCUAUCGCUAGUUGCUAACAGGUAAUGCUGAGGACUCUAGUGAGACUGCCGGUGUCAAACCGGAGGAAGGUGGGGAUGACGUCAAGUCCUCAUGGCCUUUAUGCCCAGGGCUGCACACGUGCUACAAUGGCGUGAACAAAGCGAAGCGAGACCGUAAGGUGGAGCAAAUCGCAUAAAGCACGCCCCAGUUCAGAUUGAGGUCUGCAACCCGACCUCAUGAAGUUGGAAUCGCUAGUAAUCGCGGAUCAGCUACGCCGCGGUGAAUAUGUUCCUGAGCCUUGUACACACCGCCCGU
rnacentral:rRNA from 1 species